ACUCUUUUACCAAUGCUGGAGAUUCCCAUUCCCAUCUUGUUCCUAGAACAACACAAUUGGGACUUGUGAACAGUGAGCAAAAUGUACAGAACCAAGGCUUGUCUCUUAGCCUUGGCUCAGUGAUGCCUUCUAUUGCAUCAGUCCCUACCUUUCCAUAUCAGUAUCCUGGUGCCGGUUUCUCUUCACUAAUGACUGCUUCUGUCCCAAAUUUAAGGGGCCCUUCAUCUCUUAAAGAUGAUGAAGCCAGCCUGCAAAGGGAAUUGAGAAAUGCUGAGUGCAUGGCAUCUUUAGCUUCUUGUGGCUUUCACAAAAGGGAAGGUUUGUUGUAUACUCCACAACACCCCUCAAUGUGCCUCAGUGAAGGCCAAAGCGAUGGAUCACUGGGAUUUUCCAGCAAUGUUUUGAACUCACAAUACCUCAAGGCAGCACAGGAGCUGCUUGAUGAAAUAGUUAAUGUUCGAAAGGCUUUGAAGCAAACUGGUUUAGAGAAGCAACAGAGUUUCCGUGAUAUUGGUUUAGAUGGCUCUAAAGAUUCUGAUGGAAAAUCUACCAGCCAAUCAGGGCAGAUAUCUUCAUGUCCCAAUAGUUCUGCUGCAAACACUUCAUGUGAGCUCUCACCUGCAGAACGACAAAAUUUGUUGGACAAAAAGACAAAACUUUUAUCCAUGUUGGAUGAGGUAGGCCUCUAGACUUUGUAGCAUUGAAUUCCAGCUCUUCCUUCUUUUCUAUUUUUUUUAUAGCCUUGGUCUGUCCCCAGUUAUUCUGUAUUUCAUAUAGUUGGUUAUAAUGUAUUGUUACAUACAAAAAUAUUUAAUGUAUGUGUACUAGUUUAUUUUCAAGUACAAAACAUUUUAUUUGGCAUUAUUUUUAAGAGAACGUUUGAAGGAAAGAGUAUUGGUUUCCAGAAAAUAAUCAUUUCAAAACAUGCUCCAAAUAAACAUUUUGCCACAGCUUAAGCUUUUGUGUAAAGUUAUUUACUCAACAACCUGUACAACUUUCAAAUUUUGUGUGUUAUUUUUUUUCCUGGAAAAGUGUAUGUGUUGAAAGUGCUAUAUAUAGAUUUAUAACACUUAUUAGUAAUAAAUAACAGUGAAUUGGCCACAGAAUAAAAGAGUAAACGACUUUCUCUGUGGUUGAUUUUUAGUUAUGCAAUUUAGUUGGUUUUAUACAUAUGCUACAUUAGUGAUUGAUUGAAUUGUGUAUACUUAGAUACCAAAAACACAAGUAGUGCUAGUGAUUAGAACGACUGAGAGUGUUAACUUGUGACUUAGCUCUUAUUUUUUUCUUGGCUCUGGCAGGUUGAUAAAAGGUACAGACAGUACUGCCACCAGAUGCAGAUAGUGGUUUCAUCUUUUGAUAUGGUUGCUGGUGUUGGAGCAGCUGAACCAUACACCGCACUUGCGUUGCGCACAAUAUCGCGCCACUUCCGGUGUUUGCGCGAUGCCAUUAGUGGCCAAAUUCAAGUGACUCAAAGGAGCCUUGGAGAACAAGAAGGAAUACCUCGUCUCCGCUAUGUUGAUCAGCAGCUUCGGCAGCAAAAGGCCCUUCAGCAACUUGGUGUAAUGCGACAAGCUUGGAGGCCUCAGAGGGGACUUCCUGAAACCUCUGUUUCAAUACUUCGAGCAUGGCUCUUUGAGCAUUUCCUUCAUCCGUAUGUCCCUCUAAUCUGUACAUAAUUUAUUUCAUGUUCUCCUAAAUAGUAUUUGUCUAAUAAUUGUUUUCCUAUUUUCAUUUGGUUCCAGUUAUCCAAAGGAUUCAGAGAAAAUUAUGCUGGCUAGGCAAACUGGCUUAACAAGAAACCAGGUACGAUAGUUAAUGCUUUGUAAGUUGUAGAAGAUUGUACAAGUGAAUGUUUGGGAACGAUUACUUGUGUGGAAUAAUCACUUUUAACAAAUCAAAGCUGAUACUAAAGAGUAAACAGUGUUUACGCUAACAAUUUAAUAUUUAACUACAAAUUGACAUGAUGCAUAUAAGUUUGUUAAUAUUUAUAAUAAUUAUCUUAAAAGCAAUACCACUAUGAUUCUUGAAUUCUGAUUAGUUGACAUUUUAAAAUCUCUUACACCGACAGUGCAUGGAUAUUAAACUUGAGAAGUAGUUGAUUUUCGAAAAUAAGCUAAAUCAAACACAUCAAAUUUGGUUUUGAUGGGUAUGCAACAGUAAAAUCAGUAGCCCCUUAAAGUUUUAGUCUUAUUGUGUUUGGUAAUCUUUAUUUCAUUCAUGUUAGGUGGCAAAUUGGUUCAUUAAUGCAAGGGUGCGUCUUUGGAAGCCAAUGGUUGAAGAAAUGUACAAAGAAGAAUUUGGUGAUUCUGAGAUUAGCAGCAAUCUAUUACCAUCAGAGAACACACUGAAAGCUCCAAGAGAUGAUGUUCAAUCUUCUGACAGCAAAAGGGAAGAGUCCCAGGAUAACAUAAUAACAGUUGAUGAUAGUGUUAUUCAGCAUCAUGGGUUGAAGUUGGAUCAUGCCUCAGAGUUGGACAGAGGGAUCCAAAGUAGUGAUCAUGGAGAAAAUGCCAUGGAUCCUAGAAUUGGGAAACUGCAGGGUGACCAAAGGUUCAACAUUAAUAACAGCAACAGUCCUUAUUAUGGGGAAGGCUGCAUAAUUGCUCCUACUCCUGCUACAUAUGAUUUAUCAGAGUUAGGUAACAUUGGUGUGGGUGGACAGGUGUCACUAGCAUUGGAAUUGAGGAAUUAUGAAAGUGAAGGAUUUGGCGUGUCCAAUGAUGAGAUGCAUAGAAGAUGCAAGAAAACAUUGGCUUCUUCCCCAGAGGCUGAUUUGCUAGAUUACCAUUUCACAGACCAAGGAAAGCAACAAAACAAGUUUGGCAAUCCUCACCUAUUACACGAAUUUGUUGUGUGAUGAAGGGUGAAGGGAACAAUGGUAAUGUGUACCACCAAAAUAGUUAGAAAGACCAAAAAGCCUAUGUUGUUAUUUUACUUGGUUGCUCAUUCUUGUCCACAGUUCAUGAAAGUCAUGUAAAUCAUGAACCGUACAAAAAUAUACACGUAGGUAUGUGUAGAUAUUCUCUUGUAAUAUGGUGGUGGAGGGAUGAUUGGUUGUAUCGAAUGCAGGCAAUUUUGUAAGGACAAGGAACGUAUCUUGUGCAUCAUGCGUGAUGAAUAAGGAAUCUUGUGAAGAGCAUAAAAGGGUACCCAUCUGAAUGCAUUGACUCUUGUGCUCUCACGUUAUUGAAGUUUGUGUCUUUCAUGAAUGAUUCAUAAACCAUAAGUUACUUCGUGUACAAGGAGUACAAGCAUAUUGAUUACUUUUGUUAAUACUAUUUGCCUUUGGGUUUAUUGGUGUUGAAUUGAAUGCAAGUUCUACAUUUUCCAAUGCAUAAACGUAGAAGCUAUGUCUAAACACUCUUAUACUAUGUAGUUGUUUUAGAUUUUGAUAAAAAAUCUUGGACCUAAAUUGAUUAUGGAUGCUAAAUGUUUUCAUACAUCAGGAGAAGAAAACAAUAAAAAAUGAACAGAAUUUUAUAUAAACUGUUUCCACAAACUAAAAUUAAGUAUACAUAAAUUGAAAAUCUUUUAGAGAAAUUUAUGUGAAAGAGCUUUUAAUCUUCUCAUGAAAAUAUUAUUAAAGAAGCCAUUCAAACAUACAACAGGUAUUAAAGCUGCGUGUGGUUAUUUAUUAUAUCUGUUGGGAAACUCAGUUUCAUGGGUUAUGAGAUAUAACACAAGAAAAUUCUAUUUUUGGGUGGAGCAAAUUUUCCAUUAGACUCUCUCCUAAUGGAAAAUCAAAUACACAUUAAACCAGUUAAUUUAAGAUCUGAAAUUGAAUUGAACUUUGAGCCAAUACAAUCCCAGAAAGAUUGGUUGAAGAAUCAAUGUUUUCACAUUUCAAGUUCUUCAAUGAUGGGCUGCAAUGAUAGUUGAAAACAAUAUGCAUUUUAAGCAUGGUUCAAUCAGUGUGUGAUUGGGUUCAUUGAAAGCAAGUGGCAUUAAUAAAAAAACAAAAUAAAAGGUUGUUUGAUUAAAGUAAAAAGAACAUUUCUAUUCUGCAUUCUAUCCAUUAUUAUUCAUGAAGUUUCACAGUCACAGAUUGACAAUCCUAGAAGGAGGAGUGUGCAGAAGGAAGCCAACUUUUUCUCUGCUUUAUGCAUGGCACAGAGAUCAAAUGAGCACAGCAAAGCAAGCACAGAUUUUCUCUGUUGCAGUCUACUUUUUUUCAGGCUUGAAAAGCUGGAAGGUUGAAGCUUUCGCUUGUUGGUAUAUGGUCAGGGGAAGUUUGGGACCACCAUGUUGUGUUUUCUGUCAUAUUCUACGUAGCCAUUUUACUUGGCUUCCAAGAUAGGGCAGAAGAGAGAACACUGCCUCAGAGUCAUAGGUCUGAGAUGUAGCUGAGACAGAUAGGCUCCUAUUGCUAUCUUAGAAUUAUUUAUGGCAUGUCAGCAUCUACUCAAUUACUGCCAAAAAAGUUAAGCCUACAAAACUUCCCUAUUAGCCUAACUUGUGAACAAAAAUAAUUCACCAAUCAACAAUUACAAAGGGUUAGUGUUUGACACCACAAUCAUGAAUGUUGUGUUAGCCAAUGGUUUUAUAUGUAAUUGCAUUUUUUUAACAUUUGCUCAUCUGACAUAGUCACUGGUGUCAGGGUCCUGCAGUUUGCAGCUAUGUUGGCAUUCAUUUGUUUUCUUAUGAAAGAAAAUUUGGCUUUAUUCGUGUAGUAAACUUUCCCACUUCAUCAGAACACUGUUUAUUAGAUGGUUUGAACCAUUCUUGCAUUCUUAAAUUUCAAUUACUUUGUUGAAUUUAUCUUCAUUCAAAGACAUUUCAGCUUGUACUUUUGAACAUCUUUAACAGUUUAUAUGUGCAGACAGAGAAGUACUCAUAUGUUAUGAAGCUAUUUAUUCAACAAAACAAAGGUCCCUUAGUUAAAGCAAUAUGCUUUCUUUGCCCCAAAGCAAACUCUUCAUAAUCAAGUACAAAAUGUUGAUUGUGUAUGGUUUAUAUGUGAAAAUAUAUAAAACUGACUUAUAUAUAAGAUGAGUUUUACAAACUUUAUAGAAUGAAGAACAAAAUGUUGACGAUAGGUCUUAAAACGAGUCUAAUAUGAAACAAUUCUUAAGUUCAACAUAACUUUAUAAGAUUGAUUUAAAUAAAAAUUAUUGUUACUGUGAAAUAUUAUUAUUUUUGGUCGAUAUCGGAUUUUUAACAUGUUAAUUAAAUAAUUAUUAUGCUUAGAGUAAUUAUGUUUGUAGAUAAAAUUUAUGGGUUAAAUUAAUAUUUAAUGAGAAUGGGGAUUUAAAUUUUUAAAUAAGAUGAAAUUAAUAAAAUAUGAUAAAGUAUAUAGCAAGUUGCCGAAAAUUGGGGGCUCCUAGGUAUAGAUAUAAUUAUUAUGCUUUUAGUAUUAAUAUGUAACUUUUGAAAGAAUGAGUGUCAAUUUUCAAAGAUGUUGCAAAUGUAAAUGGUGAGCGUUGAAGUUUUACUUGGACUAUUAUACACGGUUUGUGAAAAAGUGUCACUUAUGUACCUAAUGCAAAUAUAAGUAUAAUAUAAUAGUUUAAAAAUAUAUUAAUUAAUUACAAAAUACUCAAAUAUAUAAUAAGUAUUUAAACAAUAUUCAUUUUCUAUGCUUAUUUGGGAUGACUACCUAAAUCUGAAAUAUUAUAUAUCUUUGUAUUAAAUAGUUAAAAGAAUGUGUUAGCAAUAGAAUCACGAGUUCAACAAAGUUUUGAACUUCUGCUUAAAUAUUUUCAAAGAAUUGAUAUGGAUAUACCCUUUGACGAGAACAUCUACUAGUUGAAAAAAAAAUCAAAAUAUUUUUUCUGUAAAAAUCUAAGUAAAUCUUUUUGGAGAAGCAAUUUCUUGAAGGAACUAUGUCAUUCAUUCGAGUAUAUCCUAACGAAUUUUUGUUGGAUUUAUCAAGUCACUUAUUAUCGGAUUAUCCAUAAUAUGUUAUCUCUUGUCACUCUUGGUGUAAGAGUGUGUUGGAGAUCCCACAUCGACUAGAUGAGAACAAUUAGGACAAUUCAUUGUAUAUAAGUGGGUGUAAACCUCACCUCACGAGUCCCAACCAACAAACAAAAUAAACAAGAAUAAUUAAAAAUAUAAAAGUGUAACUUUAAAAAAAAAUUGCUAAUUUCUUAACCAACUUAAAAAAAAAAAACUCAAUAGAUGUUCUUCACAACAGCUAUUAAUUAUCAAAGUUGUUAACCAAUCAACUUUGCUUAAAGAUGGAGGCAUGUCCAUUCAACACACAUAGAUGGAGAGAGUUUCCUUCAGAUAAUUGUUUAAUUUUUUAAUUUUAUGGAAUGAGAAAAACAUAGAAAACGACAGAAGAAAGAAAUAUAUAUAAAGAGACAAAAGAUCUUAAUAAAGAAAAAGAUAAAAUAAUUUUGUUAGUAUAUGACCUAACUAUAAAUAGAAAAAAAUUGAAAGAAAGAAAAUGAAAGUUCUAAUAAAAAAUACAUAUGAGAUUUGUGGUCGUGAAAAAGGUCAUCAAUUCUAGAUUAAAUAUGUUCAAUUAUUAAAAAAAUAAUUUAAAUGGAUAGAAAAAUGGUUUUCGGGGCAAUUAUUAAAGAAAUGGUCAUUAAAAAUAUUGUGACACUAAAUCCUUAAUAUGUCAACGAGAGAUUAAAAAAAAUAUUUGAAAAUUAAAAAAAUAAUUAAACCCACUAUUUAUAAUUUAACAAACGACAUGACCACUAAAAAAGUAAUUAAACUCAAUCUACAGUAAACAUCAGUUAAAAGUGUAGGGAAUAAAAUACACAUACAUUUACAAUUAGAGAAUAUAUAAUAUAAAUUUGUAAAAUUAAACAUAAAAUUAUUUUGUAAUAUUAUUCAUCUUAGUUAUAACUUAAUCACUCCAUAAUAAAUUAAUAUAAACAAAUUAUUAAAUAACUAUUUGAUUAAUUAGAUUUUAUUUUAUAUAAAAAAAUAUUAAUAUUUAAAAUAAUUUAUAUUGUUAAUAAAAAAUUAUAAAAUAGUUUUUAUAUUGGUAAAAACUUUUAGCUUAUAAAUUAAUUAUUAAUUUAUAACUAAAAAUUAAUUUAAAAUUUAGAGUAAUUAAUAAUUAAAAUAUUAUUAAUUAAUGCUAAAUAUUAACUUAUAAACUAUUUUAUAUAUUCAAUUAUUAUUGGGAAGGUUUACCUAUGUAGUACAACUACUAUACACUGAUACUGAUACGGACAUCAAAUAUGACAGAGACAUUAACAAUAUGUGUAAUCUCUAAAAUAUGUGAGAUAUAAGAACAUAUAUCUAUAUAUUACAUUAUAAUAAUCAAUUGUUAAAAAAUAUAUUUAAUUAUCAUUGGGAAGGUUUACCUAUGUAGUACAACUACUAUAUACUAAUAUUGACACGAACAUCAAGUAUGACAAAGACAUUAACACUUCGAUAUGUGUAAUUUCUAAAAUAUGAGAUAUAGGGACAUAUAUCUAUAUAUUACAUUAUUAUAAAUUAUAUAAAUUAACAAUCAAGAUUUAUGUAUUCAAAAUCAUCUAUAAAUAAUUUUAGUCAAAUAUAAUUCAUUUGUAACAUCUCAUCCAUUUUUUAUCAUCAUUGAAAAAAGACACUAUAGUUUUAGUUGAAGUCCAUUUAAAAAAAAAUUAACUUUAAAAAAACUCACAUUAUAUAAAGAUAUAAUAAGAGAUUAAAUAAAAAAAAUUCUAUUAAUGCAUAUAUAAUAUAAAUAUUCUUAUUAUAUAUAAGAUUAGUUUCUUAUUUCUAUAAUCAUAAUAAAAACUUAUAUAAAAGUUUAUAAAUUUUAAGAAAAUCAAUUUGUUUUUUUUUUUAAAUUAGGUCAGAGUCGUGUUAGAAUUGUGAGAAACUUAAGAAAAUGUCUUUUAAAUUGGACACUUCAUCGAUAUGUGUUGCAUGUGUCAACAUUCGAUACAUGUUUGAUACAAAAACACACAAUUUAAAAGACAUGUCCAAGCUUCAUAAGAGUUUGCCUAUAUCCAAAUAUAAAGUAGUUAGCUAUACCCUCCAAAGAAGAGGGCAACCCUAUGUAAAGAAAAGAAAAAGUCCUUUGUCCAAUAUAUGUAUAUGAUUGUUGACUCCAUGGAUAUGAAAAGUUGACACAAUGUCCAAUUGAAAAAGCCAUGGUCAUGGUGAAACAACAAAUCCUCUUUUGCCAUCUUCCAUUAGUAUGUAUCUUAUGCUUGCUAGGUGUAUGCAUGGUGAAAGAAAGUGUUUGUUUUGGAUCCAGCUAGCUAGAUAAUCAUAUACUAAUUAAUAACUUUGGCACUAACAAAAGUGGUUUAUAAUAAUACCACUCAACCUAAUAUAAUUAAUUAACAAUAGUUAGACAUUAAUAAGAGAUGAAACAUACACGUCCAAGCCUGAUUUGGUGACUUUGACCUACUUAUUAUUCUACUAUCAUACCCAAUCCACCAAACCCUAAUUUUCAUUUUUCAUUCAUCAUACAACUAAUCUUCUUCUUCUUCUUCUUCCUCUUCUUCUCUCUCUCUCUUUGUUUCUGUUCAUCCUAACUCAACAACAACAACAAUGCAUGAUGAUUUGUGAGUUAAGUUAUGUGAAGGAGGCUUAAGAGGGAAAAGGGUUUCAACAACAACAACAUAUGCAUUAUAUUGCAUUACAUUUCAGCUCCACCAACUGGUUGUUAGGGUUUGAACACUUCCAAGCAAUAUAAUCAACCAGUCAACCACCCUCUCAAAUCUUCUAUUCCAUGCUUCAAUUUCAUUCUUCUAUUUACACCAUUUAAUGCACACCUUCCUAUUUUAUAUAUAUAUAUAUAUAUAUAUAUAUAUAUAUAUAUAUUUACACCCUUCUAUUCUACUACUACAAUUUUUCUAACAUUUUCCUUUACCACACGUGGUAAUAAUAAAAGAUUUCCCCUCUCAAUAAUUUACUAAUUCUUCAUUACACCUUCUCCAAUACUACAUUUUCUUUUACUUAUAUGAAUAAAGAAAAAGUAUUUUUUAAAAGGGUUUGAAGAGUUUUUGUUGUGGAUUAAUUUGGUAAACAUAUAAAAGAAUGCUGUGAACAUAUAUUUCUUGUGCCUUUUCAAAGAAGGGUAUCUUGAAAAAUCAUGAGGAUGAAUUGUUCUUUGAAAACCAUAAGAUUUUUUUUUGAAAAAAUUGAAAUUAGUCAUCAUAUACAAAUGCCAAAAAAUGAGUUUUACAGAAGUUUUGAACUUUUAGAAGAACUAAUGUGUAAAGUGAAAGACUAAAAUUUUGGUAACACAUUUUUUUAAUGGAAUUAGUUCAUUAUAAGUAUUUUAGUCAGAUAAAAUACACUCAUGUAGCCACAGUGUGUUAAAGAACAAAGGCUUUUGGGUUUAAUAUAUUUAUUACUUUUAUUUCUUUUUUUUUUCUUACAUGAUUUUGGAGACAUCACUGCAAAAAAGGCAUGCUAAAUUUUAUUAUUAUUAUUAUUAUGAGAAUUGGUAUAAUAUUUUUGUCUAAAGUUCUGUACAUGAUGUAAAACGACAAGCAAAAUGUGUUGGGGACAUUGGUUUUCAACAGAGCAUGCAGAAAAUUUAAUUAAUAGAAAAAAAUUAUGUAUAUAAGACUUAGACGUGUAGAAGUAAGAAACCUUUGUUUGAUUAUUUUAUUUUUGUUUCAUUAAAAAUGGUUUUGUUAUUCAUUGGUUGGUGCAGCUGGUUGUUCCAAAGAUAAUUUGAAAUUUAUAUGUCUUGGGAUUGCCAUUUGUCUGGGCUUCCCCAAACUGUGGAUUCUUGUCUGUAAUUUUUCUCUGAACCUCUCUUCUCUCUUACCCUUCUCUUUCUCCUUCAGGUAUUUCUCUUUUCUUCUUCUUUCUUUCUCUCUCUUUUCUCCACAACACUGCACAACCACCAUAAUAGUUCAAAGCACAAACUUCAUAUCACUAUGAUGAUGCUCUUUUACUGUUUCUGGUCCAUGAUGGUAGAUGCUACUUCUCCUGCUCAUAAACUCUUGUUCUAACAAAAGGGGUGGUGGGGUUUUCACUUUUCAUGAUUGAAAGUAUAAAUUAGUGUGUAAAAGCUACUGUGGAGUGCAAAAAAGUUUAAAUUAUGCUUCAAAGGUUUGGUUUUUCACUCAUUAUUGUCUUCUGUUCUUGAUUGACCGUUGCAGUGCUUACACUUUUUCUCUUGUAGCUCUCUUCUUUUCACUCUUCAUUUACACUUUUUUUUUGUGGUCUGAACUUGACCUUGCUUCUUUGGUUUUCACUUUCAAGUUUCAACCACCACCACCAUAGGGUUUGAACUUUGAAGCCAAUUAUGCCUAUGGGAUUUUGGUUUCACAACUCAUUUUUCGGUUUUGUUUGUUUUCAGGUUUGUUUGCAUCGUUUUCUGCUACCUUGUACCUUCUUUUUUGAUUUGAAACAUGCAAAAACAAAACAAAACAAAAGUGAAAGAAGCUUUCUUUGGUCAAUUUACUUAACAGGGAAAACAAAGUCUUUCUUUUCUUAAUCUAUGGUAACGAAAGUAUGCUUUUGGACAAACCCCUUUUAAUUACUCCCGUUGUUUGAAGUUUAAGCCAGUGCUUUGUGGUUGGUUAAUGAUUGAAGCUGCACUGUUAUGUUACAGAUAUAUGUACGCUAAAUAGUGAUAUAAUGAGUCUCUGAUUGCUUUUGCUUGUGAUGUGGUGCUUUUGCUUUAUAACAACGUAAUCUUUUCCUUUGAUCAGACGUGUCUUCUAUUUUGUUAACCUUUCUCUUCAAUAAUUUUUUCUUCCUUUUGGAUUAUUUUAAUUAAAUUUAGAUUCUGUAUUGUGAUGAGCUUUUGUUUUAGAAACAUGAUCAUCUUCAAUCUUGUAGCAGAGGUAGCAAUAUAUAUUUUGCUCGGCAUCACUACUGGUUUCUUGAGCCCAAGCCUCAAAGGAGAUGUGUAGCUGACUCAGUUGUAAAGGACCAGAAACAAGCACAUCUGAAUUUGAGUUAAAAAAUUUACAAUGUAUUCAGACCAAGCGUUUUCUUCAGGGCCCUAUGCAGAUAUAUUAUCUGGGAAUCCUCUUUUACCUCAUAACUACAGUGAAACUGUUGGAGAACACAAUGAGUUGAAGUUCAUCUCAUCCAUGAGGAACACAAUGACUGUGCAACCUAUUGAUGAGCAUUCAAAUGCGGCCCCCACAGCUGAUCAAAACUCUUUUACCAAUGCUGGAGAUUCCCAUGCCCAUCUUGUUCCUAGAACAACACAAUUGGGACUUGUGAACAGUGAGCAAAAUGUACAGAACCAAGGCUUGUCUCUUAGCCUUGGCUCAGUGAUGCCUUCUAUUGCAUCAGUCCCUACCUUUCCAUAUCAGUAUCCUGGUGCCGGUUUCUCUUCACUAAUGAAUGCUUCUGUCCAAAAUUUAAGGGGCACUUCAUCUCUUAAAGAUGAUGAAGCCAGCCUACAAAGGGAAUUGAGAAAUGCUGAGUGCAUGGCAUCUUUAGCUUCUUG
rnacentral:lncRNA from 1 species